AGUGAACGCUGGCGGUAGGCCUAACACAUGCAAGUCGAACGGCCGCACAGUAAGAGCUUGCUCUUACGGGUGGCGAGUGGCGGACGGGUGAGGAAUACAUCGGAAUCUACUUUUUCGUGGGUGAUAACGUAGGGAAACUUACGCUAAUACCGCAUACGACCUACGGGUGAAAGCAGGGGAUCUUCGGACCUUGCGCGAUUGAAUUAGCCGAUUUCGGAUUAGCUAGUUGGCGGGGUAAAGGCCCACCAAGGCGACGAUCCGUAGCUGGUCUGAGAGGAUGAUCAGCCACACUGGAACUGAGGCACGGUCCAGACUCCUACGGGAGGCAGCAGUGGGGAAUAUUGGACAAUGGGCGAAAGCCUGAUCCAGCCAUACCGCGUGGGUGAAGAAGGCCUUCGGGUUGUAAAGCCCUUUUGUUGGGAAAGAAAAGCAGCAGGUUAAUACCCCGAUGUUCUGACGGUACCCAAAGAAUAAGCACCGGCUAACUUCGUG
rnacentral:rRNA from 1 species